rnacentral:tRNA from 1 species
GUCCCUGCAACGCAAUAGAUAGCGCGUUGGAUAUUUAAUUCAAAGGUCGUGGAUUCGAAUCCCACCUGGGAUG